CUAAUGUUGGUCUGUUCUUUCUACUUUAAAAUUUGUAUUUUACCUAUUUUUAAUUUGGCUACUGCAAAAUUUAGUUAUGUAUGUGGCUUGCAGUAGUGGCUUGCAUUUUCUUUCUAUUGGACAGCACUAUUUUCGACAGCCCAGCCAGCUGCGGCUUCUACAGAACUUAUUCCAUAAGGUCACUGUAGUUUCUUUACCUCGAAAAGCAAACAGAUUCACUCCUACUCUGGUUCUGGAUUUUGCGGGGCUACGAGCUGCCCCAGAGUCCUUGAGGAAGUGUCAGUGCUGUGGGCUCGUCAUCGGGGCUGGAGCUGACUUGAGGCUCUCUUCCAGCUCCCACAUCUGGCUCACCCUGUGCCACGAAGCCAUCACCAGAGUCCAACACAAAGCCCUCCUCCAACCCUAGACCAGUCACAAUGUGUCCACAUCACUCAAAACUCCACACAGAUCAUUUCCCCUUGAAACAAUGGAACAGGUGUUGCUACAAACUGCCAAGCUGUUACCACCUGUGCAACUGGUCAGAGCGGACCACAGAAAGGGAACCGCCUGGGCUGCAGUCUGAGACACCCCUUCCUUCUGUCACCUCAGCUCAGGCCUCGCUGGUUUCUCCUUCCCAGAGACUGGAGCCCCUCCUUCUUGUGGAGCUAGGCUCAGAGACAGACUGAGCUCCUUUGCAGUUUUCAGCACAGCGGUGGGGAGCCAACGCUGAUGCUGGGAACUUCAGAACAGAAGACAGGUGCCAGGCCCUCCAAUUCUGGAGAAAACUGCUGGACACUGAAGAUACCGGGGCAAAAUUCGAACCUCAGAAUCCUGCCCCCUUUUUUAAAAAAAAAAUAUAAACGUUUUAUCCCCGUGAAGACUCAACACUGGCUAUGACAGGCGUGGAGGUGGAGCGGGGUUCACAUCUCCCUUCUACCACUCAGCAGCCGUAGGACCCUGGAGAAGGCUGCUGCAUUCGUCUAGGUCUCAGUGUCCUCAUCUGGAACAAUGGGGACAGUUCCACCUACCUCACAGAACUGAAAAAUUAAACCAUGGAUGAAAAAGUGCCUUGCACAUGGUAAGUGUUCAAUAGACAUUAGCUUCCAUCCCUUCAAUUUUCCCAUAGCAAUUAGGCAAAGCAGAUAGUAAAAACCUUGUGGGGAACUGAAACGAAAUCCUCUAUACUCUGCUCUGUUUUUUGCAGGUUUUUUUCUGGUUUUGUUUGUUUGUUUGUUUUCAAUCUGAAUCUUGGUGCCUGGUACAAUUUAAAAACCCAGGUACAGGAACUCUGCCACGGCAAGGACGAUCUUUGCAGCCCUCACAUAGCAUCUGGCCAAAGGCGAGCGCCAGCUACAGCCCAGCUGCUCCAGUGUGGUCUGGGGACAGCAGUGUGGGCAUCCUCUGGAAGCUUCUUCCAAGGGCAGCAGCCCAGCCCCAACCUGGACCUACUGAAUUAGAGGCUGCAUUUCAGAGAUCUCCAGCUCCUGACGACUUGUGUGUAUCUCUGUAUUCAGCGGAGCAUUUAGAGAGAGAAGCUAUACAGCGCAAGCUCUCAACACCUUUUGGGA